GCCCUUGUGGCCUAAUUGGUUAAGGUGUUAUCCUCCGGUUAACGAGUUAAGAUAAUGAUUGCGGGUUCGAGUCCCGCCUCGGGCU
rnacentral:tRNA from 1 species